UACGGAGGGUGCAAGCGUUGUCCGGAUUCAUUGGGUUUAAAGGGUGCGUAGGCGGGACAUUAAGUCCGGGGUGAAAGACGGUUGCUCAACAAUCGCAGUGCCUUGGAUACUGGUGUUCUUGGGUGAAGUUGAGGUGGGCGGAAUUCAAGGUGUAGCGGUGAAAUGCGCAGAUAUCAGGAGGAACACCAGAAGCGAAGGCGGCUCACUGGCCCGAUACUGACGCUGAGGCGCGAAAGCGUGGGGAGCAAACAGG
rnacentral:rRNA from 1 species